GGGGGAGCUGAGCAAUGCUGUAAGGAAGAUGCAGGUGGGAUGAAAGAACCGGCCAGGAUGCAGAACAGCCAAGAGGUGACAGUUGUAUUUGCAGAGGGUAGGGAAACAGCCAAGGAGGUGACAAGGAAGGCUCAUUUGUGCAGCUGGGAACUGCUGACUAGUUGGACAAGGGAAAAGGCCCCAGCACAGAAUGAUUGAGGAUCUGCAGAAACUCAAAAGCUUUUUCCCAUCUAAUGGCAAGAAAGAGUGUGUAAAUAAAACUGACAAACAUAAAAAUGCAAUAAACUACAACUGUUUCAUGAAUUUAUAACCUGAGGGGCAAAGUAAUAAAGAGAUAAAUUCAUGUCA